AUUGAACGCUGGCGGCAGGCCUAACACAUGCAAGUCGAGCGAACGAAGGGAGCUCUCUCCUCGCUUCAGCUGCCGACGGGUGAGUAAUUCCUAGGUAUCUGCCUGAUAUUGGGGGAUAACGUCCCUACACGGACGCUAAUACCGCAUCCGUCCUUAGAGAGAAAGGCAUGGAUCUUUAGAGCACACGCUAUUAGCUGUUCCUUGGUCGGAUUAGCUAGUUGGUGGGGUAAAGGCCUACCAAGGCGACGAUCCGUAGCUGACCUGAGAAGAUGAUCAGUCACACUGGAACUGAGACACGGUCCAGACUCCUACGGGAGGCAGCAGUGGGGAAUCUUCGACAAUGGGCGAAAGCCUGACGGAGCCAUGCCGCGUGUGUGAUGAAGGUCUUCGGAUUGUAAAGCGCUUUUAGUAGGGAGGAACGGAUGUGUGUUAAAAUCUGGCUGUUUUGACGUUACCUAAAGAGAAAGCACCGGCUAACUUCGUG
rnacentral:rRNA from 1 species